rnacentral:lncRNA from 1 species
AUGAUGUGAUUGCUGAACAACACAGUCUGUCCAAACGGUUAGAGGAGAAUAAACUGAGACAUGAUGAAGACGUUAUAUCCAUUGCCAAAUGUAGAUUUGAAAUCAAAAACAUGAAAGAAGAGAUGAGACAGCUUCACGACGCUAACAUAAUCAAUGCAGAUAUGUUCAAAAAAACUCUGGAGGAACUGGAAGGUCAGUUGGCCAAACACAACACGAGCAGGGCAGCGGUUGAAGCUGAGAGAGAGAAAAUAGAUCAAUCUCGCAAAACCCUUAAAGAGGAAAACGAGGAGUAUGUAAUGGAGAUCAAUGCAGCCAUCGAGCAAACAGAGAAGAG